AGAGUCCAGCCUGCCCAGUGACUAAUGUUCAACGGCCGCGGUAUCCUAACCGUGCGAAGGUAGCGUAAUCACUUGUUCUUUAAAUGGGGACUUGUAUGAAUGGCAUCACGAGGGUUAUACUGUCUCCUUUUUCCAAUCAGUGAAUCUAAUCUCCCCGUGAAGAAACGGGGAUACAACUAUAAGACGAGAAGACCCUAUGGAGCUUUAAAUGCCUCUUCAAACGUUGGA
rnacentral:rRNA from 1 species